GUUACUAUAUUUACGUUCUUACAUUUAUUUACCAUACUGAUUUUAUUACUUGUAAUCCAUUUCAGAUUGAUUGGAGCAAAAUGGCUCAGCUUUUACCAAUGUACAUGAUUGCAGGCCAGUCUAUUUAAGAUGCACUUUUGGAUGGUAUGUAGCCAACAAUCCAAGAGAGAUGGAAGGAAGUAAAAGACCACGAAAACCAAAUUGGACAGAAGAGCAGUGUUUACUUUUAGCUCAGUUAGUUGAAGAAAAGAAAGCAAUUUUAAAAGGUAAAUUUGGCUCCGGUGUCACAGCUCAAGGAAAGAGGCAGACCUGGGAGAAAAUAUCUCAGCAGAUAAACUCCUCUUUCCCUCUGGUUGUGCGCACCAGUGAGGAAUGUGAAAAGCGGUGGUAUGUGUUGCAGUCUCAAGCCAGGAGGGAGAUUGCAGCACACAAACGGGAUUCUUCAAGCACAGGUGGAGGACCACCCGCUAAACAACUGUCUCAGGUAGCGGAAACUGUAUUUAAUGUACUUGGACACUCAGAAAUAUCUGUCACUGGGCUGAAGGAAGGCACAGACAGCUCAAUGAUCCAGCUAAUGGGAAUACAAAGCAUGGAACCGUCAGAGGAACCGCAACCGUCAACGUCGCAGGUGUGCGACCCUCGGCCAGUGUAUCAGAUAAGCCAGCCUGCUGCAGCCACCUCAACACCAUCCCUGCUGGACAGAAAAUUGGAGAUCAAAAUUGAUACUCUCACACAGCACAAAAAAGUUCUCUGCUUACAGGAGGAGUAUUAUAAGCUAAAAAUUGAGCUGCUAAAAUAUAAAAAGAAUGAAAAAUAAAAAGUGUAUCAUGGUAA